GUGGGGAAUCUUCCGCAAUGGACGAAAGUCUGACGGAGCAACGCCGCGUGAGUGAAGAAGGUUUUCGGAUCGUAAAGCUCUUUCGUUAGGGACGAACGUGCUCUUUGUGAAUAAUGAGGAGUAAUGACGGUACCUAAAUAAGAAGCCACGGCUAACUACGUGCCAGCAGCCGCGGUAAUACGUAGGUGGCAAGCGUUGUCCGGACUUAUUUGGCGUAAAGCGCGCGCAGGCGGGAUAUCAAGUCUGUCUUAAAAGUGCGAGGCUCAACCUCGUGAGGGGACAGAAACUGGUAUUCUUGAGUGUCGGAGAGGAAAGUGGAAUUCCAAGUGUAGCGGUGAAAUGCGUAGAGAUUUGGAAGAACACCAGUGGCGAAGGCGACUUUCUGGACGAUGUCUGACGCUGAGGCGCGAAAGCUAGGGGAGCGAACGGGAUUAGAAACCCUUGUAGUCC
rnacentral:rRNA from 1 species